rnacentral:tRNA from 3 species
GGGCCCGUAGCUCAGCCUGGUAGAGCGCCCGGCUCAUAACCGGGUGGUCCGGGGUUCGAAUCCCCGCGGGCCCA